rnacentral:rRNA from 1 species
ACUGCUCAGUAACACGUGGACAACCUGCCCUUAGGUUGGGUAUAAACCCGGGAAACUGGGUAUAAUACCCGAUAGGUCUCGAUUGCUGGAAUGCAUCGAGAUUUAAAGCUCCGGCGCCUAAGGAUGGGUCUGCGGCCUAUCAGGUAGUAGUGGGUGUAGCGUACCUACUAGCCUACGACGGGUACGGGUUGUGAGAGCAAGAGCCCGGAGAUGGAUUCUGAGACACGAAUCCAGGCCCUACGGGGUGCAGCAGGCGCGAAAACUUUACAAUGCUGGCAACAGCGAUAAGGGAACCUCGAGUGCCAGGUUACAAAUCUGGCUGUCGAGAUGCCUAAAAAGCAUUUCAUAGCAAGGGCCGGGCAAGACCGGUACCAGCCGCCGCGGUAACACCGGCGGCUCGAGUGGUAACCGUUAUUAUUGGGUCUAAAGGGUCUGUAGCCGGCCGGAUAAGUCUCUUGAGAAAUCUGGCAGCUUAACUGUCAGGCUUUCAGGAGAUACUGUCUGGCUCGAGGCCGGGAGAGGUGAGAGGUACUUCAGGGGUAGGGGUGAAAUCUUGUAAUCCUUGAAGGACCACCAGUGGCGAAGGCGUCUCACCAGAACGGACCUGACGGCAAGGGACGAAAGCUAGGGGCACGAACCGGAUUAGAUACCCGGGUAGUCCUAGCCGUAAACGAUACUCGCUAGGUGUCGGCCACGGUGCGACCGUUGUCGGUGCCGUAGGGAAGCCGUGAAGCGAGCCACCUGGGAAGUACGGCCGCAAGGCUGAAACUUAAAGGAAUUGGCGGGGGAGCACCACAACGGGUGGAGCUUGCGGUUUAAUUGGAUUCAACGCCGGAAAUCUUACCGGGACCGACAGCAAUAUGAAGGCCAGGCUGAAGACUUUGCCGGAUUAGCUGAGAGGUGGUGCAUGGCCGUCGUCAGUUCGUACUGUGAAGCAUCCUGUUAAGUCAGGCAACGAGCGAGACCCCCACC